rnacentral:pre_miRNA from 1 species
CCGAGACGGGCGGAUCACGAGGUCAGGAGAUCGAGACCAUCCUGGCAGGAUGGUCUCGAUCUCCUGACCUCGUGAUCCGCCCGUCUCGG